rnacentral:rRNA from 1 species
GAAUGGACACAGGUGCUGCAUGGCUGUCGUCAGCUCGUGUCGUGAGAUGUUGGGUUAAGUCCCGCAACGAGCGCAACCCUCGCCCUUAGUUGCCAUCAUUCAGUUGGGCACUCUAAGGGGACUGCCGGUGAUAAGCCGAGAGGAAGGUGGGGAUGACGUCAAGUCCUCAUGGCCCUUACGGGCUGGGCUACACACGUGCUACAAUGGUGGUGACAGUGGGCAGCGAGGCCGCGAGGCCGAGCUAAUCUCCAAAAGCCAUCUCAGUUCGGAUUGCACUCUGCAACUCGGGUGCAUGAAGUUGGAAUCGCUAGUAAUCGUGGAUCAGCAUGCCACGGUGAAUACGUUCCCGGGCCUUGUACACACCGCCCGUCACACCAUGGGAGUUGGUUUUACCCGAAGG